rnacentral:rRNA from 1 species
CCUACGGGAGGCAGCAGUGGGGAAUCUUUCACAAUGGGGGAAACUCUGUUGCAGCAACGCCGCGUGCAGGAAGAUGUCCUUCGGGUUGUAAACUGUUUUAUGAGCGAGGAAUUGACGUCCUCAAUAGU